CCAAAACUCCUCACUUUCUUCAGUCUAGAUUUGCUGAGAAUCCAAGUCAGGAUUUGAGUUUAGGUGUUAGGAAUUCCUUAAGUUUGGGAAACCCCUCUUUGGAAUUGAGCACUAAUAAUGGGAAAACCCCAAUUCAACUAGCACAACAAGCACUUCCUCCAGCGCACUAUCACUUCCUUCAGCAGCAACAACAGCAGCAGCAGAGGCUAUUACUUCAGCAGCAGCAGAUGAAACAACAAGCGGAAAUGAUG
rnacentral:lncRNA from 1 species